UGUCCUGUAGCUUAGUGGUUAGUGUGCUCGCCUCCCAAGCGAGAGGACCCGGGUUCGAUUCCCGGGGAGGGCGA